CAGGAGCAAAACUUAACAGUCUUCACAUGCUCGGUUAAAUGGUAGAUCUUCUUUUUCGUGAACAUCGUGAGCUGGCAUUUUCACAAAGGUGCACAGAACUACAUGCUGGAUAGCUUGAUGCCACAUCUGCUGCUCUUCGUGGGCAGCCUCUUCUGAUACUGCCUCAGGUUUCUCCAUCAUGUUGUGCUCUCUGUGUGCUACCCCACAGCACCAGCCUGCAGAGUAUUCUGUUGUGAGAACGCCUCCCCAGUGGAGAAUGUCCCGCUGUGAAGUGAAUGUGUGAACAACACCUUUGGUGAAACUCUACCUAAUUCCAUGCAUACAUUCUCCAGGCAUUCUUGAGUUCAUGUAGGAAAAUGCCUUAUAUAUGAGCACACUGCCAAAAUAUAGUCCAUGCAAUAUUCCAAACACUUUUUUUUCAAACUGUUUUUUUUUUUUUUUUACUUUUUUUCUCACACCUUAAACACUUCUUUUUGCAGCAGUUUCAGGAAAUGCCUAAAGACUACUGACGUUACCAUGUGUUCUUGUGUUAUAUACAGAAAAAAAAGUGUGUAAUGCCAGUCAUUAGUUACAGUGCCUUGCAAAAGUGUUGAUGCCCUUUGAACCUUUCCAGAUGUCAUCAAAUUAAACUUCUAUGUAUUUUAGCGUGAUUUCAUGUGACAGACUUAUGGAAAG